UCUUCCGCAAUGGACGAAAGUCUGACGGAGCAACGCCGCGCGAGUGAUGAAGGCUUUCGGGUCGUAAAACACUGUUGUUAGGGAAGAACAAGUGCUAGUUGAAUAAGCAGGCACCUUUACGGUACCUAACCAGAACGCCACGGCUCACUCCGUGCCAGCAGCCGCGGUAAUACGUAGGUGGCAAGCGUUAUCCGGAAUUAUUGGGCGUAAAGCGCGCGCAGGUGGUUUCUUAAGUCUGAUGUGAAAGCCCACGGCUCAACCGUGGAGGGUCAUUGGGAACUGGGAGACUUGAGUGCAGAAGAGGAAAGUGGAAUUCCAUGUGUAGCGGUGAAAUGCGUAGAGAUAUGGAGGAACACCAGUGGCGAAGGCGACUUUCUGGUCUGUAACUGACACUGAGGCGCGAAAGCGUGGGGAGCAAACAGG
rnacentral:rRNA from 1 species